AGGAUAAACGCUGGCGGCGUGCAUGAGACAUGCAAGUCGAACGGACUUCUCGGGGCUUGCUCUGAGAAGUUAGUGGCGGACGGCUGAGUAACGCGUAGGUGACCUACCCCGAAGUGGGGAAUAACUGCCCGAAAGGGUGGCUAAUACCGCAUGCGAUCGUUUGUUCACUCGAACGAUCAAAGCCGAAAGGCGCUUUGGGAGGGCCUGCGUCCGAUUAGCUCGUUGGUGGGGUAAUGGCUCACCAAGGCGACGAUCGGUAGGUGGUCUGAGAGGACGAUCACCCAGACUGGGACUGAGACACGGCCCAG
rnacentral:rRNA from 1 species